rnacentral:rRNA from 1 species
GUAAUGGGUAGCAAUACCUGUUGACGGCGACCGGCGCACGGGUGCGUAACGCGUAUGUAACCUACCCUUCACAGGGGGAUAGUCAGAGGAAACUUUGAAUAAUACCGCAUAAAACAGGGGUCCGGCAUCGGGAUAUUUGUUAAAGGUGGCGACACGGUGAACGAUGGGCAUGCGUUCGAUUAGAUAGUUGGUGAGGUAACGGCUCACCAAGUCUACGAUCGAUAGGGGGUCUGAGAGGAUUAUCCCCCACACUGGUACUGAGAUACGGACCAGACUCCUACGGGAGGCAGCAGUGAGGAAUAUUGGGCAAUGGGCGAAAGCCUGACCCAGCCAUGCCGCGUGCAGGAAGACGGCCCUAUGGGUUGUAAACUGCUUUUACUCGGGAAGAAUAAGGGUUACGUGUAACCCGAUGACGGUACCGAAAGAAUAAGCAUCGGCUAACUCCGUGCCAGCAGCCGCGGUAAUACGGAGGAUGCGAGCGUUAUCCGGAAUUAUUGGGUUUAAAGGGUCCGCAGGCGGACAGGUAAGUCAGUAGUGAAAAACCGGGGCUUAACCCCGGUCGUGCUACAGAAACUGCCUGACUAGAGAAAGUUUGGCGUUGGCGGAAUGUGACAAGUAGCGGUGAAAUGCAUAGAUAUGUCACAGAACACCGAUAGCGAAAGCAGCUGACGAAGACUAUUCUGACGCUCAGGGACGAAAGCGUGGGGAGCAAACAGGAUUAGAUACCCUGGUAGUCCACGCAGUAAACGAUGGGUACCAUCUUUUUGUCCGCAAGGAUGAGAGGAUCAUCGAAAGAGAUAAGUACCCCACCUGGGGAGUACGUGCGCAAGCAUGAAACUCAAAGGAAUUGACGGGGGCCCGCACAAGCGGUGGGGCAUGUGGUUUAAUUCGAUGAUACGCGAGGAACCUUACCGGGGUUUAAAUGGGAUCUGAAUAAUCUGGAAACAGGUUAGCCGCAAGGCAGAUUUCAAGGUGCUGCAUGGUUGUCGUCAGCUCGUGCCGUGAGGUGUCAGGUUAAGUCCUGCAACGAGCGCAACCCCCAUGAUCCGUUACUAACAGGUGAAGCUGAGGACUCAGAUCAGAC